CCAGCAGCUGGUUUCGCCAUUUGGAAAGACUGCAACUGCCUCUGUACUGCACGAGACUGUCGAAUACAUUAAAUACCUUCAUGAUCAGGUCAAUGUCUUAAGCACGCCAUAUUGGAGAAAUACGCGUCCCAUGCAGCAAGAGAAGGUAGAUGUCCUUACAUGGAUUUGAAUAACAUAUAU